AUUGAACGCUGGCGGCAUGCCUUACACAUGCAAGUCGAACGGCAGCACGGGGCAACCUGGUGGCGAGUGGCGAACGGGUGAGUAAUGCAUCGGAACGUACCUUUCAGUGGGGGAUAACGUAGCGAAAGUUACGCUAAUACCGCAUAUUCUGUGAGCAGGAAAGCAGGGGAUCGCAAGACCUUGCGCUGAUUGAGCGGCCGAUGUCAGAUUAGCUAGUUGGUGAGGUAAAGACUCACCAAGGCGACGAUCUGUAGCGGGUCUGAGAGGAUGAUCCGCCAAACUGGAACUGAGGCACGGUCCAGACUCCUACGGGAGGCAGCAGUGGGGAAUUUUGGACAAUGGGGGCAACCCUGAUCCAGCCAUGCCGCGUGAGUGAAGAAGGCCUUCGGGUUGUAAAGCUCUUUCGGCCGGGAAGAAAUCGCACGGGCUAAUACCCUGUGUGGAUGACGGUACCGGAAUAAGAAGCACCGGCUAACUACGUGCCAGCAGCCGCCGCGGUAA
rnacentral:rRNA from 1 species